AUACGGAGGGUCCGAGCGUUAUCCGGAAUCAUUGGGUUUAAAGGGUCCGUAGGCGGGAAUCUAAGUCAGUGGUGAAAUCUUGCAGCUCAACUGUAAAAUUGCCAUUGAUACUGGAUUUCUUGAAUUAGUGUGAAGUGGUUAGAAUGUGUAGUGUAGCGGUGAAAUGCAUAGAUAUUACACAGAAUACCAAUUGCGAAGGCAGAUCACUAACACUAUAUUGACGCUAAGGGACGAAAGCGUGGGGAGCGAACAGGAUUAGAAACCCCGGGUAGUCC
rnacentral:rRNA from 1 species